GUGAGGAAUAUUGGUCAAUGGGCGAGAGCCUGAACCAGCCAAGUCGCGUGAAGGAAGAAGGAUCUAUGGUUCGUAAACUUCUUUUGCAGGGGAAUAAAGUGCGGGACGUGUCCUGUUUUGUAUGUACCCUGAGAAUAAGGAUCGGCUAACUCCGUGCCAGCAGCCGCGGUAAUACGGAGGAUCCGAGCGUUAUCCGGAUUUAUUGGGUUUAAAGGGUGCGUAGGUGGUUUGAUAAGUCAGCGGUGAAAGUUUGCAGCUUAACUGUAAAAAUGCCGUUGAAACUGUCGGACUUGAGUGUAAAUGAGGUAGGCGGAAUGCGUGGUGUAGCGGUGAAAUGCAUAGAUAUAACACAGAACACCAAUUGCGAAGGCAGCUUACUGGGAUGCAACUGACGCUGAGGCACGAAAGCGUGGGGAUCAAACAGGAUUAGAAACCCUUGUAGUCC
rnacentral:rRNA from 1 species